rnacentral:rRNA from 1 species
UACAGAGGUCUCAAGCGUUGUUCGGAUUCAUUGGGCGUAAAGGGUGUGUAGGUGGCGCCGUAAGUCGGGUGUGAAAUUUCGGAGCUUAACUCCGAAACUGCAUUCGAUACUGCGGUGCUUGAGGACUGGAGAGGAGACUGGAAUUCAUGGUGUAGCAGUGAAAUGCGUAGAGAUCAUGAGGAAGACCAGUGGCGAAGGCGGGUCUCUGGACAGUUCCUGACGCUGAGGCACGAAAGCCAGGGGAGCAAACGGG